UCGUUCAAGGACUAAGCCAUGCAUGUCUCAGCGCACACGGCUUCGAACAGUGGGUCUGUGAAUGGCUCCUUACAUCAGCAGUCAUCUCCAUGAUAGAGUGUGGAUGGCACCAUCAUCCCAAUCUGGCCAGGUGCCCGUCCGGACAUCCUCCAAAACCUAGUGGCUAAUACGCGCUUGCCCCAGUCCGCCACAGCGACGCUCCAGUGAUGUGGUGCUACGAUGGUCCUUGCCAAGCCCACAGGCCCUUCAACCGGCCUCUUGCCUGACCAGCGGUGGAUGGCGUCCAGCUGCCAAGGAAGACCAGCGCCCGAGCCAACAAGGGCAGUGUUCUGUGGUUGAUUCAGGCUGGUCCGACACAUCGCCAGUUCCCAACCGAGCCUCCAGGCUGGGUGGGCGGACACAANUUUCGCAGAGUGGUUGGCUGCCUCCGUGGUGGCUACAGCACUGCUUGAUCACACGAACUUCUGACCUAUCAGCCUCGAUGGUGGUGUAGUGGACCACCAUGGCAGUGACGGGUGACGGAGAAUCAGGGUUCGAUUCCGGAGAGGGAGCCUGAGAGACGGCCACCACUUCCAAGGAGGGCAGCAGGCACGCAAAUUGCCCAAUGCUGAGUCGUUCUCUCUGGCGAGGCAGCGACGAACUGCAGCAAUUCCGUCCGUCCUCACCGACCAGCGGAACUUGGAAUGGAUGCAAUCCAAACACAGUGAUGAGUAUCAACUGGAGGGCAAGUCUGGUGCCAGCAGCUGCGGUAAUUCCAGCUCCAAGCGCGUAUACUAACAUUGCUGCUGUUAAAACACUUGUAGUCCGAUGCUGGGUCGCAGGUCUGCCUGGUGGCGACGGGACCACACCAUGGCCUCCCUGCAUCAUCCUCCCCAUGCAGACCGCGGUCUGGCUUGCAACUGGUGGGUCUGGCCUGGUGUGUGUGGGUGUGGUGCAGGUGGUCGGUCUUCGUCGGUUACAACCCCAGGCAGUAUGCUCCUGCACCCGAUUGCCAUGACGGAGAAGAGUUGCUCCUGCUCAGAAGUCCCCUUCACUGGAGAUCGAUGCGGUGUGUACACCCAACGCUUGUGUGUCUGACGCCAUUGAACCAGGGGCAUGGCCCCACCAGUACGAUGUCAUCUCCCGACGCUGAUGUGCCAUGCACUUCCACCCUGGAGUCCGCCACCGGAGCCCUCCGUUGCCUGUCACCGUGGAGAACGCAGUGCGCCCAAAGCAGCCAUAUCUCAAGUGGCUGAAUGUCCGUCCAUGGAAUGUCAGUGCAUCGACCAGAGAUGUUUGGCCUAUGGAGUUGUGCUGGGUUCUUGGUGCCCUUUCUGGGGAACGUGGCACUGUCCACGGUGGCGCAGACACCCACUCCUUGGCAUGUGUGUCUGGGCGCUGGACCACACACCAUGUGGGCCAGAGUGUCGGCCAUGCCACAGGGUUCGUGGGUGGCUCCCCCCUGCGCCACACGCUGGACUGUGUCAAUCGUACACGAUGGGACUGCCUCGGGGUGAAAGAUACUGCAGCGCCAGAGGUGAAAUUCUCAGACCGUUGCAAGAUCCACUGCAGCGAAGGCGUUCUGCAAGUGCAUGUUCGUCGAUCAAGAAUGUGAGUGUGGGGAGCGAAGAUGAUCAGACACCGUCGUAGUCCACAACUGUAAACCAUGCCAGCUCGGUGUUGGCAGCGCAAGUACACGGACGCUGCCAGCGCCUGCCUCUCCCUUCACGAGAAAUCCAAGCCUGUGGGUUCAGGGGGGAGUACUGUCGCAAGGCUGAAACUUAAAGGAAUUGACGGAAUGGCACCACAAGGCGUGGAGUAUGCGGCUUAAUUUGACUCAACACGGGGAAUGUUACCAGGUCAGGACGCUGCUGGGAUGGACAGAUUGAGAGCUCUUUCUUGAUCCUUCGGAUGGUGGUGCAUGGCCGCUCCUGAUUGGUGGAGUGAUUUGUCUGGUUGAUUCCGAUAACGAGUGAGACAUCUGCCUCCCACUAGACCCGGCCUCGCAUCCCACACCAUGGGACAAGGGACCGUCGUGGCGUUCACUGCUGCCGUCCAUGGGGUCUUGGGGGUCCACAAUGGGCGUCCCGGGGAUGUCCAUGUCAGUCCUUCCGUGGCUGGCAUGCAUCACGCUCCUGUGGGCGUUCCAGUGGGUUCCUCCCCAGGCCACGCUGGGCGUGCAGCGCGCCGUCGAUGGACCCCAGAGGCUUUGGGACCCAGCUUCUCUGAGGUGCUGUGCAGGCUUGCCAACUGCAUGCAUGCUAGAGCCAACAGCAGGUCUGUGAUGCUCCCAGAUGUCCUGGGCCGCACGCGCACUACAUUGGUCCGGUGAAUGUGUCCCUGCACUUGCCCUGUCAAGCCCUGCCUGGAAGUGGGUGGGAAACCCUGGAAGCCCGCCAAUGCUCUGCCCUCUCUGUGGCCGUACUGGGGAUAGAUGAUUGCAACUGUCUGCCUUGAACGAGGAAUGCCUAGUAGGCGUGGGUCAUCAGCCCACACCGAUUGUGUCCCUGCCAUUUGUACACACCGCCCGUCGUUGCUACCGAUGGCAGCAGGAUAGAGCCCUCUGGAGGCUCACAGGCCGUCCUCCCUCGAGAGGCGGCCGGGCCAAACUUGGGCAAUGUCCUGCGGCUAGAGGAAGCAAAAGUCGUAACAAGGUUGUUGUAGGUGAACCUGC
rnacentral:rRNA from 1 species